UACGUAGGUGGCAAGCGUUGUUCGGAAUUAUUGGGCGUAAAGGGCGCGUAGGCGGUUUGUUAAGUCGGCUGUGAAAGCCCGGGGCUCAACCCCGGAGGGUCAGCCGAUACUGGCAGACUAGAGUACGGAAGAGGUAGCUGGAAUUCCCGGUGUAGCGGUGAAAUGCGUAGAUAUCAAGUGGAACACCAGUGGCGAAGGCGAGUCUCUGGACAUUUCCUGACGCUGAGGCACGAAAGCCAGGGGAGCAAACGGG
rnacentral:rRNA from 1 species